UAGGGAAUAUUGGACAAUGGGUGAGAGCCUGAUCCAGCCAUGCCGCGUGCAGGAAGAAGGCGUUAUGCGUUGUAAACUGCUUUUUGCCAGGGGAUAAAAUGACCGUGCGCGGUUAAUUGAAGGUACCUGGUGAAUAAGCCACGGCUAACUACGUGCCAGCAGCCGCGGUAAUACGUAGGUGGCAAGCGUUGUCCGGAUUUAUUGGGUUUAAAGGGUGCGUAGGUGGCCCUGUAAGUCAGUGGUGAAAUAUCUCAGCUUAACUGAGAGGGUGCCAUUGAUACUGCAGGGCUUGAGUACAGAUGAGGUAGGCGGAAUUGACGGUGUAGCGGUGAAAUGCAUAGAUAUCGUCAAGAACACCGAUAGCGAAGGCAGCUUACCAAGCUGCAACUGACACUGAGGCACGAAAGUGUGGGGAUCAAACAGGAUUAGAUACCCCCGUAGUCCCUGAGCGGGCUGGCAAGGCGCAU
rnacentral:rRNA from 1 species